UACAGAGGGUGCAAGCGUUGUUCGGAUUUACUGGGCGUAAAGUGUGCGCAGGCGGCCGAGCAAGUCGAGUGUGAAAGCCCCGAGCUUAACUUGGGAAUUGCGCUCGAAACUACUUGGCUGGAGUGUGGCAGAGGAAGGUGGAAUUCCAGGUGUAGCGGUGAAAUGCGUAGAGAUCUGGAGGAACACCGAUGGCGAAGGCAGCCUUCUGGGCCAACACUGACGCUCAUGCACGAAAGCGUGGGGAGCAAACAGG
rnacentral:rRNA from 1 species